rnacentral:rRNA from 1 species
UACCGAGGGUGCAAGCGUUGUUCGGAAUUACUGGGCGUAAAGCGCGUGUAGGUGGCGAUGUAAGUCGGGUGUGAAAUCCCUUGGCUCAACCAAGGAAGUGCACUCGAUACUGUGUCGCUUGAGUACUGGAGGGGGUGGCGGAAUUCCCGGUGUAGAGGUGAAAUUCGUAGAUAUCGGGAGGAACACCUGUGGCGAAGGCGGCCACCUGGACAGUCACUGACACUGAGACGCGAAAGCGUGGGUAGCAAACAGG